UCGGAUGUUCAGUCACAAACCCGUGGUUUGCGGCCUCAAGCCUCCAGUCUUCCACACCCGGGUUCUCUGGAGGUUACAACUGCCAUCCUUGCCGUUCGGGCCACGAGGAGUCCCGGCGUCGUCGUGAGAAGUUCCAGGCCUGGGUCCACUUGCCAAGACUGAUCUUAUCCGAGAAACAAGUCCAGAGGAAGAGAAAAGGAAGAGGAGGCAGGAAUGACUCGUUCCCAGGUAAAACUCCAAACAGUGUUGCAGAUUUUGGACUAAGAAGUAAACAUCUGCUUCCCUGUCAUGCCCUCCAUCAUCACUCACCAACUCUGUAAUCACUGUUGCCUGUUUUGUGGAAGAUUAAGUGUGUGUC